rnacentral:rRNA from 1 species
UACGUAGGGUGCAAGCGUUGUCCGGAAUUAUUGGGCGUAAGGAGCUCGUAGGCGGUCUGUCGCGUCGGAUGUGAAAAUCCAGGGCUCAACCCUGGACCUGCAUUCGAUACGGGCAGGCUCGAGUUCGGUAGGGGAGACUGGAAUUCCUGGUGUAGCGGUGAAAUGCGCAGAUAUCAGGAGGAACACCGGUGGCGAAGGCGGGUCUCUGGGCCGAUACUGACGCUGAGGAGCGAAAGCGUGGGGAGCGAACAGG